rnacentral:rRNA from 1 species
GAGUUUGAUCGUGGCUCAGAUUGAACGCUGGCGGCAGGCCUAACACAUGCAAGUCGAGCGGAUGACGGGAGCUUGCUCCUUGAUUCAGCGGCGGACGGGUGAGUAAUGCCUAGGAAUCUGCCUGGUAGUGGGGGACAACGUUUCGAAAGGAACGCUAAUACCGCAUACGUCCUACGGGAGAAAGCAGGGGACCUUCGGGCCUUGCGCUAUCAGAUGAGCCUAGGUCGGAUUAGCUAGUAGGUGGGGUAAUGGCUCACCAAGGCGACGAUCCGUAACUGGUCUGAGAGGAUGAUCAGUCACACUGGAACUGAGACACGGUCCAGACUCCUACGGGAGGCAGCAGUGGGGAAUAUUGGACAAUGGGCGAAAGCCUGAUCCAGCCAUGCUGCGUGUGUGAAGAAGGUCUUCGGAUUGUAAAGCACUUUAAGUUGGGUAGGAAGGGCAGUAAGUUAAUACCUUGCUGUUUUGACGUUACCGACAGAAUAAGCACCGGCUAACUCUGUGCCAGCCG